rnacentral:rRNA from 1 species
CAGCUCUCCGAGUGGUGUGGACGUUUAUUGGGCCUAAAGCAUCCGUAGCUGGCUGUACAAGUCCCCUGUUAAACCCACCGAUUUAAUCGUUGGUCUGCGGGGGAUACUGCUCGGCUAGGGGACGAGAGAGGCAGACGGUAUUCCCGGGGUAGGGGUGAAAUCCUAUAAUCCCGGGAAGACCACCAGUGGCGAAGGCUGUCUGCUAGAACGCGCCCGACGGUGAGGGAUGAAAGCUGGGGGAGCGAACCGGAUUAGAUACCCGAGUAGUCC